rnacentral:lncRNA from 1 species
CAGCAAUUUUUUAUCUUCCUUCUCUGCUUCCCAGUUUCCCCCUCCAGAGGCCAGCGAACAAACGUCACAGGCCCGGAUCUUCAACUCCCGAGUUCCUACCCUGCCCUGAUGGCCACUGGUACCACUCCCCACAGCCCGCUGUACCGGGUCCUGGUCCGGGUGUCUGAGAGCUGCUCUGGAAUAGAGAAGAAGCUGCAGAAGUAUUUCCAGAACCCAUGAGUGCUCCCAGGAAGAGAUUAGCAGUCUAACUUCUAUGCACAAAUGUCCUAUCACAACCAGCACUGUUACCUUUGAAAAGUGAGUUUCCUUCAAGUUCUCCAUUGUUUUGCCUGUAAGUCCUUUAAAGUUAACAUGGUUUCUCCAUUUAUGGGUCCUAGGAUUAUUCAAGUGAAGAGCUGCACAAUCUCCAUUUUCUGGACAAAUUUCAUUUUGAAAAACUCACUGUUAUUUUAGAAAGGUGAGUUUGCAGAAUUGAAUUUGCUUAAGAAAUUUAUAGAGGUUGAGGGUGGGGGCAUCAGUCAGGGCAACCCCAGACUGGUGCCUCCUGAUGGGCCAGUGAAAUGGUUCCACUGCACUCCUGAGGUAUCUUUCUUUGCAAGUGCUGCUAUCUGUACCAGUAAAAAGAAUAACUCACUUGUAUAAAGAAAGCUGUACGUUUUGGGUCACUUUUGAUCCUUUGAGUAAACAAAUUCAUAAUUUUCUUAUCCCAGUGUUUCAGGGGAGAGACCAUAGGAUAACACAGGAUAAGUAACUUGGUUACC